GACUUUCUAACAAACACCAUGUGUGCAAACAUAAAACAACCUAAACUAGAGCACAAAAUUCAAAGCCAAAAAACCACAAAAACACCAUCAAACAUAACAACAUAAAAUCUUCAAACAUAAGGUUUUAAAGUCUACAAAACACAAAUAUGUCAUAGUGGUUUUGGUGGUGGCCGAAACAAGUUUUGGUUUAGUGUGGGAGCAGCCAUGGAAGUGAGAUGUUGAGAAGGUGAAUCUAGUGGGGGGUCGUUUCCUCUAAGAAGACGCUUUAAAAAAUUUGGGUGAAAGUUUGAUAAGUGUGAAUGUGGUGGCUCUUUGUCAGGGACCUUCUAGAAGUUGUUUCAAUUUUCUUAUCAUUCUCAUUACCUUCAGUGUUCAAAAUAUUUUGUUGAUUAACUUUUGUACUAACAAAUUGACGUGUUUGAUUUUCAUUGAUUCAUGAAACCAUUAUGAAUAGUGUUGGCGCAAUGUAAGUGUUGCAUCCUUG
rnacentral:lncRNA from 1 species